UUUAUUUCUUGUUCAGUUUCAGUCUUACUGAAGCAGCUUAGCAUUCAAUCUGCAGCCACCUACUCCCAGGGAGAGCCAUUGUUUAAUAUUAAUGUUCACCUAAAUUGAAGCAACGCCCUGCUGCCUUCACAGCCAUUCAAGGAGAAAUUCUCACCCUCAGAGAGAGGUAAAGAGAGAAAAAGAAUAAAGUGUGCCUGCUUGCUUACCCGCCUGACACAAUGUUCUGGGAAAGGAAACAAUGUUCUCUCCCUAAAAAGUCUCUUUCCAGGAUCAACUUCAGCUGCAAAUAAAGUAAGAAAAAUUGUGGAUUAUAUAAAGUCAAGUCUACUAGGACUAACGUUUGUCUUUGUUCCCAUCUAUAUUCUUCAAUGGUAAUUUUUUUUUCAUCUUGACUAAAGAUAGACUUGCGGCAACUAGCACAGUUUUCAUUAUCUAUACAAUCAUCAAAGCUAUCAAUACUGCUAUAUUUAAGCAUAUCAAAAAUUUAUUUAUGUGGAAAACAGAAGCCAUAUUUUACCUUGGUAUCUAGAUCUCUUUUGGUAGAGGAAGAAGGUGCAUUUUUUCAUAUCUUGAUAAGAUUUCAAUACUCAAAUCGUGAUAAAAUCUCAACUACUACUCUUAUACUUCCAAGCGUUAGUACAUAAGUAUUAUACAAAAUGCCAGGAACUCAGUAAAUGGAGACAUUAUACAAAUAAAUGGAUUUAGGAUUAUGGACUGCUUCUCAGUGUUUUGUUAGGCUUGACACAUGACAGACACACCGGAUUGUUCAAAGAAGGGCAGGAUGUAAUUUAUGGGCCAGCCUAUGUUGUGGCAUAUGGACAUCUUGUUCCUGUUAAAUGAGUCAAGCUAGACACAAAAAUCUCUUGUAAAUAUGCAUGGGUGAUGCAGCUCCUGAUAAAUAGUUCAACAGGAUCUGAGGCAGUUUAUUACCCUAAACUCUUAUACUUCCAAGCGUUAGUACAUAGGUAUCAUACAAAAUGCCAGGAACUCAGUAAAUGGAGACAUUAUACAAAUAAAUGGAUUUAGGAUUAUGGACUGCUUCUCAGUGUUUAGUUAGUCCAACAGGAUCUGAGGCAGUUUAGGGUAAUAAAUUUCCUCAGAUCCUGUUGGACUAUUUACUGGGAGCUAGGGUAAUACAAUUGCACAAAAACAGCUCUAUAUAUCAUAGCAAAUAUCAGUAGUUUAUAAUUUUCAAAGCAUUUUUUAUUAAGGUAGAAAAUCUUUGCAAUAGCCCAAUGAGGUAGAUGAUGAGUUAAUUGUAGGUACCUGAGGUUCAAAAGAUUGAGGUUGCCCCUGCCAGACCCCUCAGUUUGCAAAUAAGUGGUUAAGCCAUGAUCCCAAACUUGGUUUUCUUUCCAAAUUUAGUUUUCUUUCUACUGAUAUCAUCCUGGUAAAAUAAGAAAAACAAAAUUCAGCCCUUCCCUCCCCACCCACAACCCUCUAAGAAGCAGUUGAAAAUUUAAAAUGGUAUUAAAAUUAAAUGGAAUUGACUGGGUUAAAAGGCAAAGUUCAUUGUAACAGAAAUGUUUGCCUAGUUAUUUUUAUUUUUAU
rnacentral:lncRNA from 10 species